GAUGAACGCUGGCGGCGUGCCUAAUACAUGCAAGUCGAGCGAACGGACGAGAAGCUUGCUUCUCUGAUGUUAGCGGCGGACGGGUGAGUAACACGUGGAUAACCUACCUAUAAGACUGGGAUAACUUCGGGAAACCGGAGCUAAUACCGGAUGAUAUUUUGAACCGCAUGGUUCAAAAGUGAAAGACUGUCUUGCUGUCACUUAUAGAUGGAUCCGCGCUGCAUUAGCUAGUUGGUAAGGUAACGGCUUACCAAGGCAACGAUGCAUAGCCGACCUGAGAGGGUGAUCGGCCACACUGGAACUGAGAAACGGUCCAGACUCCUACGGGAGGCAGCAGUAGGGAAUCUUCCGCAAUGGGCGAAAGCCUGACGGAGCAACGCCGCGUGAGUGAUGAAGGUCUUCGGAUCGUAAAACUCUGUUAUUAGGGAAGAACAUAUGUGUAAGUAACUGUGCACAUCUUGACGGUACCUAAUCAGAAGGCCACGGCUAACUACGUG
rnacentral:rRNA from 1 species